rnacentral:lncRNA from 1 species
UAUCACUCUCCCCCCCCUCCAAAGAGAGGCUGUCGAUCCUCAGGUCCUUCCAAAACUAGUUCUUCUACAGUUCAAGUGAAAGACGCGCUCUUCUCUCAACAAUUAAAUGAAACCCUUAGUUACUCCUAAAAGUCAGAAGAUCCUCAAAUCUGAAAAUCAACAAAUAAAACGAUAAUCCAGAGAUAAAGUUGAUGUUGUGGCUGGUCGAUCUUCUUCCUUCAAAUAUGCAUAAUCCAACAAAAGAAAAUGUUGAUUUCAACUUCGAGCUUGGACUUGUGAGUGGCGAACCAACUUCAACCUUCGACCUUUGAGAGGUGGAGGUUCAUUGGGGAGAGAUUCUGUAUAGACAGCUGAUUGGUGGAAUCGACGACUGGUGCCUUUUGCUGUCGGGUGAUUUUUUUCGAACUAAUUAGUUCUUAUAGUUGAUUCUUGAUGCGCUUGUGUAAAAAAUUUGAAUCUUCUUUUCUCGUUCAAAUGUAUUUUGCCUGAAGUGUAUAGCCAAACAAACCCUUAGAAUAAGGCUUCAAGGGAUGGAGAGAUUUGGACCGAACCGGCGUCUUUCGGUGUUCGUACUUUUCAAGCCUUCUUUUUCUCGAGGUCAGCUCCUCAUUUGCUCUCUAUUUUUUCAUAUCUACGAUUUCGUUAGUUUAGGCUAUAAGUUUUUUAGUGAAGUAUUACUAUGUUUCUGCUUUUUCAACUGCUACGCUGAUUUUGGAUUUCUCUGGACUUGUUCAGUUUCUUGAUUGGAUAUGGUUUAAUUUAGAUUACACUUUAUUGGGAACGGUUGAAUUGGAAGCUUGAUUUGAUUGUGCUCUUUUUGCUGAAUUUGAGAUUUAGUUUGGGUCUUAGGAAUACGAAAUUAUGAAUUAAAAAUUGGGUUUCUAAUUUCUUCUAAGAAUCAUAGUUUAUGGGCUUAAAGAGGGGAAAAAAGAAUAUGCUCUGUGUUGUGCAAAGUGAAGUGUGAUUCUAUUUGAUUGACAAAAUAUGGGGAUUACAUAAAUUAAUUCUUUAGUUGUUCUAAAGGAUUAUUAUUAUUAUUAUUUUUUUUUUUCCAAUCAGAUGGGAGCUGUGGAAAGAAUGAGAUUUGAAAAGGUCCAUAAUAAUUUUGACACGAUAAGGCGAAGGGUUUCGUUGGAGAGACAGUUGAAAAGAUCCUAAGGAUUACAAUUUGUAAAGAUGAAAAUGUUGAUGAUUAUGGGGAGAGACUCUCAUCUUCAGUUGUCUUCGGGGUACUAUUAAUCACGAAUAAUAAUGUUUCCUACAUUAAUCAAUUGAAUUGAUUGCUUUAUUAAUCAAUUGAAUUGAUUGCAAAUAAAACAUAAAAGAGUACUUUCUUUUUAUCAUUUCUACAUAUAAGGUUUCUUUAUUAGUUAUAUAAACCCUCAAUUACACAAAUUUCCUAUGAGGAUAUAUGUAAUUUAGGUUUGAGCUUCAGUAAUUGAGUUUAUUCAUUGUACUUGGAUCAUAUUUUAAAUAAUGAAUUUUGGGAUAUUAGAGGGAUUUACUGAUUAUGUCAGUAAAAUAAUUUUCAACAUAUUAGUACAUAAACGUAGAUUUUGGAGUGAGAUUUUGUGAGAAGUCUUCAAAAGAAUGUUAGGCUGUACCUAGGAUGUGAAUCUUGCAGUAAAUUUUAUUUAUUAUUUCUUGAAUUUCGUAUAGACAGUUUUUUGUAGAUUUAAACUAUUUUUUCAUCUAUUUAACUCAUGGAAUCAGAAAUAGAUUAGUUUGAUGUCGGGUAAUUAUUUCAUGCACAAGAAACUUAUAUGCAACAUCUGUUGGUUGAAUGAGGAGCAUCAUUGGAACCGUUAGCCAAAAAUGAAAUGUAAUUGGAAAAGAAAUUCAAGGAAAUAAUAUAGGAUGAAUAUGAGGGAGUGACAUCAAUAAAGAAUGGGCUACUCUUUUCUACGUCUUAUGCCAAUUUAAAUUGUAUAUUAUAUUAAUGACUACUUUCAUAUGUGUGUGUGUAUUAUUGUUUCUAACUCCGUUGAUAAGUAAGAUUCUCCCAUUGAUACAUGUAAUUCAAUUUUUUCUUCCUGACCUGUAUAGUAAUAGACGAGAAGAGAUCAAUGUUGCAUAGACUCAAUAGUUUGUUUACAAUAUUAUAAUACUUGUGUUUUCAAUGUUGUAGUUGGCCCUUAUCUUGGGCUGAUCUUAAUGUGCAGCAAGAGUACAUUCGAGGAAUCAAUUUCUCGAAUUUCAAUACUCUUGUAUGCUAUCAGUCCAUUGAUCAGUUGGUAAUAUGGAUUGCAUCAUUUGAACGCCACUUUAAUAAGUUGAGGUUUUCUCUGCAGAUUCAGGAUGAUGAUCUUUCUAAUUCAAAAAAUUCAAGUGUGAGUUGAAAGUAUAGGAAUGGGCAAGAUGACGCUGAUGCUCCUCCAGAGGGAAUAUCUACUGAUCAGGGCAUUCAUUCAAAUGUUGCACAAUAGCUGGAGGUAUAGUUGCUAUUCAAUAUAUAGUUCUAAUUUUCCUGUUGUUAUUCAGUACUUUCCUUCAGACUCCUCCCCUUUCUGUUUUGCUCUGUUUUUCGUUUUCCCCAAUCCUUUAUAGUUAUCUAAUAUGUGCAGUUUAAUCUUUAUUUUCUCAGGAUGGACUCAACGAUAUUCAUGAUCUAGAGAAUUCGUUUGCUGCAUUUCUUGUGAAACCUCUUCGGGCACUAAAGUAUGGUGCAUCUGGUUUGGACAAGCUAGAAAGGCAAAGCACAUUUUGUUUUGGACUUAAAAUCAGAUCAGCCUGCAAUGCAAUGGGAAUAUUUUCAUUGAUAUUUUGUGCCUUUGUAAAUAACAUUUUUUAGCAUAUUGGUAUAUACUUAGCUCGUUGCUCUUGUUACUUUUAGGAAACAAUGCUAAUGCACAAGGAGUUGGUGCAUUCUAGUGGCCUUAACAAACUUAUGGUGGAACUUCAAAUCAAAGGUUGGCAUUUCCUUGAUAAUCCAUCUUGUUAACUACUCAUAUUCUGAGUAUAAGCAUUUUGGGUAAAUUCAAAAAAUACAGUUAUAAGCUUAUAGAGAAACUAAUGCUAGAGCCCCUUUGAGGAAUGAAUAAUUACGUUCUAUGUUGCUCGGACUCUCCAAAAAUGGAGAAGCAUCCGUGUCAAUACAACAUGAUACGGAUACUGACAUGGGAUAUGGAUUGAAUCCUUCGUUUUACACUUGGACACGGCAACAAAAGGGAGAAGAUGGUGGAAGGUUUCUUGCUUCUCCGGCGGCUGAAAAAUUUGUAGAGAGAGAGAAAUUUGGGGAAGACAAGGAAAGACGAUGAGUUUUAAGGAGUUAAAUGGGCUCUUGAGAAGUCCAAAUGAUAGAGUUAAUGAGAGUGUGUUAAAUGGAUUCUUGUGAAGUCUAAUGAAUGUAGUUAUUGAGUUUAUAUAAUUUUUUUAUUUCUUAUAUUUUAUCUUUUACAACAUUUUAUAUUAUACUUAAAAUGAAUUAGUGAUAUAUUAUUU